rnacentral:tRNA from 1 species
GGCGCUGUGGCUUAGCUGGUAAAAGGGCCUGUCUUGUAAACAGGAGAUCCUGGGUUCAAAUCCCAGCAG